UACGGGGGGAGCAAGCGUUGUUCGGAUUUACUGGGCGUAAAGGGCGCGUAGGCGGCCACCGCAAGUCGGUUGUGAAAUCUCUGGGCUUAACCCAGAAAGGUCAACCGAUACUGCGGGGCUAGAGUGCAGAAGGGGCAACUGGAAUUCUCGGUGUAGCGGUGAAAUGCGUAGAUAUCGAGAGGAACACCUGCGGCGAAGGCGGGUUGCGGGGCUGACACUGACGCUGAAGCGCGAAAGCUAGGGGAGCGAACGGG
rnacentral:rRNA from 1 species